rnacentral:rRNA from 1 species
CAGUAGCCACGGUAAUACGUAGGGUGCGAGCGUUAAUCGGAAUUACUGGGCGUAAAGCGAGCGCAGACGGUUAUUUAAGCAGGAUGUGAAAUCCCCGGGCUUAACCUGGGAACUGCGUUCUGAACUGGAUAGCUAGAGUGUGUCAGAGGGGGGUAGAAUUCCACGUGUAGCAGUGAAAUGCGUAGAGAUGUGGAGGAAUACCGAUGGCGAAGGCAGCCCCCUGGGAUAACACUGACGUUCAUGCUCGAAAGCGAGGGUAGCAAACAGGAUUAGAUACCCCGGUAGUCCCUGUCUCUUAUAC